UGGUAUGAUUUGUAAGCCAUUUGUUUCUGUUUUUGUGUGAUUUCUUUAUGAUUUGUUUACUUAGAAUAUCGUAUGAAAUGAUUUGAAAGAGAUUUGUUAACUUUGUUAGCUAGAACGGUGUGAUUUCGUUAUGAUUUGUUAACUUUGAAUAUCAUAUGAAAUGAUUUGAAAAUGAUUUGUUAACUUUCUUAGCUAUCUUGGUGUGAUUCAUUGAUGAUUUGCUACAAUGAAUAAAAUGUUAAUGCAUUUCAGGUUUCUUUGUUUAUCUAUCUCUCUGACUUCCGGUUGAGGUCAAAUUCAAAUUUCAAAUACUGUUCUAUAUUAACUGAACAAAGAAGGUUGCAAGAUGGGGAGUUUUAUUCAGUCUAUGAAAGAUGACGGUGGUAAGGAAUCUUUAUAUUUAUAAUUUCACAUAUUUAACUAAUACUAUUCAAAUGUUAACCUUUAAAAUUCAGAAACUGUGC
rnacentral:lncRNA from 1 species